rnacentral:rRNA from 1 species
AAAGCUCGUAGUUGAAUUUCGGGGUUCUACCGUCGGUCGGGCUAACAAGUCUGUACUGGUGUGUAGAACUUCUACCUUCUGGGGAACUAUCAUGUUAUUAAUUUAGUGUGGUAGGAAACCAGGACCUUUACCUUGAAAAAAUUAGAGUGUUCAAAGCAGGCUUAAGUCUGAAUACAUUAGCAUGGAAUAAUAGAAUAGGACGGUGGUCCUGUUUUGUUGGUUUCUGAAUCACCGUAAUGAUUAAUAGGGAUAGUUGGGGGCAUUAGUAUUCAAUUGUCAGAGGUGAAAUUCUUGGAUUUAUUGAAGACUAACUUCUGCGAAAGCAUUUGCCAAGGAUGUUUUCAUUAAUCAAGAACGAAAGUUAGGGGAUCGAAGACGAUCAGAUACCGUCGUAGUCUUAACCAUAAACUAUGCCGACUAGGGAUCGGACGAUGUUAAAUUUUAUUGACUCGUUCGGCACCUUA